UGGGGAAUUUUGGACAAUGGGCGAAAGCCUGAUCCAGCAAUGCCGCGUGUGUGAAGAAGGCCUUCGGGUUGUAAAGCACUUUUGUCCGGAAAGAAAUCCUUGGCUCUAAUACAGUCGGGGGAUGACGGUACCGGAAGAAUAAGCACCGGCUAACUACGUGCCAGCAGCCGCGGUAAUACGUAGGGUGCAAGCGUUAAUCGGAAUUACUGGGCGUAAAGCGUGCGCAGGCGGUUUGCUAAGACCGAUGUGAAAUCCCCGGGCUCAACCUGGGAACUGCAUUGGUGACUGGCAGGCUAGAGUAUGGCAGAGGGGGGUAGAAUUCCACGUGUAGCAGUGAAAUGCGUAGAGAUGUGGAGGAAUACCGAUGGCGAAGGCAGCCCCCUGGGCCAAUACUGACGCUCAUGCACGAAAGCGUGGGGAGCAAACAGGAUUAGAUACCCUGGUAGUCCACGCCCUAAACGAUGUCAACUAGUUGUUGGGGAUUCAUUUCCUUAGUAACGUAGCUAACGCGUGAAGUUGACCGCCUGGGGGAGUACGGUCGCAAGAUUAAAACUUAAAU
rnacentral:rRNA from 1 species